CUGCCAUCACCACGAGAACAUGCCUGGCCUGGACACGCUGGAGGACGAGAGACAUGCCGAGCAGAGCUGAGUCAUCCCAGUCACCCCCGAUAAGGCCAGCCUGGAAAAGCCAAUAGCUGGCCAACCUGAAGCCUCAAGAGUGGCCCAGUCAGGAUUACAGAGCUGCCUACCAGCCUCUGAGUGACCCAAGCAAUAUGAGCAACAAACACCUAUUAUCAUAUGUCACUGUGUGUUUGCAGUUGUUGGGUAGACAGCAUUAUUGUAGAAAUAGCUAACUGAUACACUGUGUCCAGUGCUAGGCUAGUUGGGUGGUGAGAUUUUGAGUGGUUCUGCCUCCUACAAUCUCUUUUUUCCUGUCCAUUUUCAGAGCCUGGUCCUCCAGAAUUCUUGGCAAUUAUUAAAGUAACCCAGUAUCUUUUCAGUGAAUUCCCUUUGUGCUUACAUCGACCAGAGCCAACUUCUGUUUCCCACACUUAAGAACUCUGUCUAGUACUGUGCAAGUAUAGUGCUAGCUCUUAUUAUUAAUCUCCCAUUUCUGCCUUUGUUUGAACUGGCACUUAUCUUCCGGAACUUGUUUCAUUACUGAAAUAAAUAGCACCUAACAGUCUGUCUGCCCCAAGAAGCCUCUCCUGACUAAUUGGGAAAUGCCAGUUCCUCCUCGUAUCUUCCCUUCUUUGUGUGGCAGCAUCUUCUCAGCCUCGCUUGUCACUGUCUUCCACCAUACUCAGAGCAACAGCAAAACAACUGCCAUUGUUCUCACAUCUUCAGUCACGUCUGUGAAGAGCCACGAUGCCUUGUGUGGGGUGUGCAAUUUACGGACCUUGAAGAGGAGGCUACGUUUCAUGUGCGGGUCAAUGCAGCCAAGACCUGUGAGACAAUCCAAGAACAGACGAGGAGAGAGGCGACUUCGAGCACUUCAACUCUCUCACAGCAACCCUCAGCAGCCCUCUGGGCUUUUUCCGGGAGGAGCUUCUCCCAGCUGGCUGUUGCCCUUUCAGCUUGGGCCUCAGAGUGAGCACGUAUGGAGCAGACCUGAGUCCAAUCUGCAGCAAGGAGACAAGCCCAGCUGGACUGCAAUAUGAUGCAAAGCUGCCCAGGUAAGCCCAGUCUCAAUGUGUAGAUCCAUUUCUAACUAGUGGACUAUGAGAAUUGAGUGCUUAUUGUCUGGUAUGCGGCAAGAACUGACAGACACACUCAUAAAAUGGGAACAUAAUUUGUACAGAGGCACAACCAAAAUAUAAUACUAUUUUAUAUUUUACUUUCAUUUACUAUGCAUUGUAUGACAGAUGGGUUUCUCUAUGUUGCCACAGGUUUUUAUAAUUUUCAACUAGCAGCACAAUACUUUAUCAAAUUCAUCUAGAAAAUAAUAAUAUGGUAAUGUUGACUCAUAUCUUAAGGACUCAGUGUGUGCUGACACACAGUGUCUUGUAUAUAUUUAAUCAUUUCAACAGUCCGAAGAGGUAAGCCUAACUACCAUUCCAUGGUCUCAAAGCCAGAGGUAGGGUGAUGUACAUUUAAGAAUAUGGCCUCUGCGGGCUGGACCGGUGGCAUAGUGAUUAAGUUCCCAUGCUCUGCUUUGGUGGCCCAGGGUUCGCCAGUUCAGAUCCUGGGUGCAGCCCUAGCACCACUCAUCAAGCCAUGCUGAGGUGGCGUCCCACAUGGGAGAACGAGAAGGAUCUACAACUAGGAUAUGCAACUAUGUACUGGGGCUUUGGAGAGGGAAAAAAAAGAAAGAGGAGGAUUGGCAACAGAUGUUAGCUCAGGGCCAAUCUUCCUCACCAAAAAAAUGAGUUAGAAAAAAUCUAACAACAACAAAAAGAAUAUGGCCUCUGGGGCCAGACUGCCUGGAUUGAAUGCUAGCUCUGCCACAUCUUGAGUGCUUGACCUUGGGACAAUCACUUAACUGCUCAAGCCUCAGUUACCUCGCCUCUGAGGAUGAUAAUAAUGACAGUACCUACCUUGUUAAGUUGCAGUGGUGAGUUUAAUGAGGUAAUACACCCGAACAGCUAGACUAGUGCCUGGCCUAUAGGAUCUGCGUUAGCUACUGUUAUAGUUGAGGAAACUAAAUUUCAGAGAGACUAAUAGCUUAUUCAGAGCCAUACAGUGAGUAAAUUAUAGUAAUCAACUGUGUCACCUAGCUAGGGUCCUUUAAUGAUUCCCUAAUUAUUGAGCAAG
ensembl:lncRNA